GUUAAACUUCGCGUUUUAAGCAUCACACGCUUAGGGCUUCCACGCUAUCGUCUCUUCCAAAACUUUACCUCGCUGUCUCCGGCUUUUGUAGCCUCAUCUCUUCGCCUACAGUUUUGUUAUCUCUUCACCUUCCCUAUUGUUCAAUGUUUAUGUCUUAAUUCUCCAUAAUUUUUAGUAGCAUUGGAUCCAGAUUCCAUAUCGACAAAUUCGUUUCAUUCAUCUCAAAUCUAUAAAUAUGAUUGGGUUGAGAGUGCGAUGGAUGUUCAUCACCUCUAUCAGUUUAUCAAUUUUUAAAGCAUAGAAAGAUCCUCAAAAAAUUCUUCCUCCGGUGCUGUUGUUUCACACUCCACGUUUGACGCUCUCUGGAUCCGAAAAUUUGGCCAGUUUAUUGUUGCCCGUCUGCUUUGUUUUCAAAGGCAAUGGAUCUCGAGGACCUAUGAAUGGUUCAGGGUUUCGAUUCAGUCCCAUCAUGUGGGAUUAGUUUGCUUGCUCUUCUUCCUCUUCUGGAAAGGGAUACCAUCGAAAUUUAGGUAAAAAGGUCUGGCUUUCUCUUCCUGAUCCUGCCAAGAAAAAAGUCCAUCUUCCUAGAGAGUUAUUACAGUGAUUUGAGCAAUACUGUGAUUGGAAGACCACAAGCAACACUGCAGAUUGAUCAUAAACAGCAUACCGGCGUUGAAGGUCCAAACCUUCCUCUGUGCCUUGAGGACUCCAUUGUUAGUUAACCUUUGAAUCAAAAUAAGUGCAGCGGCUACAAUGCACAUGCCCUGAGAAGGCUCAAACUACAAUGAAGUCUCUAUUCAACAGUCUGCUCUUUUCUGAUAGUCUUAAGUAAGAGUAUCAACAAGAAGAGGUUUAUUAGUAUGACAUCUUUGUUUUACAUGAUCUGAAGAAUCUAAGAACACAGCUGUAUUCAGCAGUUAAGUACUUCGAACUAUCCUACACAAACAAUUGAAACACAUGCACAAUCAUCAGUGAAACUUUAUUCCUCUUAAUUGCUAUUAGACUUUUUAUUUAUUUGUAAAGCUUAUACGUGUGUAUGCAGAGUCGUGGAGACACAAAACGAUUAUGCGAUAAAGGCUCUGGUAAAUACAGUUGACCAUUUGGGCUCUGUUACAUACAAAGUCACUGAAUUUGUUGAUGAAAAGGUUGAUCAAGUAGCUGGAACCUGCUAUGAGUAGCUUGCAUCGAACAGGUAUAUAGAUAUCAACAAACUGGCCUUUUUCUAAUCCUCCUGCUUCUAGCUGGUAAUCAAUAUGUAUUCCACAUGACCGAGGUUGUCUCAUCUUACCUUUAACUUGAUUUAACAGUGUUAAUAGCAAUAAAACCUUGACCGUAUUUUUUCUUAUAUGAACCCGAGGCUGAAAAGGCUCUAGGGGGAGAUCUCUAACCAGAACAAGCACCAUCAUCUGCCAGCGAGACUGGGGGGAUUCUCCCAGCAACGCCAAGGAAGUUGAUGAAGAGAAUCAGCCAAGCUUGGUUGAGAAAGACAAGAGUUGCAAGCGCCUCCUUGAGUGAUUGGUACAAGUCCAGCAAACCGUCAAUCCCACUUAACUUUCCUGCGCUUUCACUUUUUUAAAUUGCUAUGUUUUUCAAUUUUUGAGUUUUCUUAUUGUUUUUAAAUUUCUACAAACUAUCACCCACUAAGUUAGUAUUUAGUUUUGAUUAAAUUAUGGGGAACGUUAACGAGUAUUAGAAUUUAUGGUGUCCA